rnacentral:rRNA from 1 species
AAUCAACGCUGGCGGCGUGCCUAACACAUGCAAGUCGAACGCGAAAGCCCCUUCGGGGGUAAGUAGAGUGGCGUCCGGGUGAGUAACACGUGGGUAAUCUACCUUCGGGUGGGGAAUAACUCAGGGAAACUUGAGCUAAUACCGCAUAAUGCAGCGGCACCUAAUGGUGAUUAGUUGUUAAAGCGGGGGAUCGCAAGACCUCGCGCCUGAAGAGGAGCCUGCGGCAGAUUAGCUAGNGGUGAGGUAAUGGCUCACCAAGGCUUCGAUCUGUAGCUGGUCUGAGAGGACGGCCAGCCACACUGGCACUGACACACGGGCCAGACUCCUGCGGGAGGCAGCAGUGGGGAAUUUUGGGCAAUGGGCGAAAGCCUGACCCAGCAACGCCGCGUGAGGGAGGAAAUCCUUCGGGAUGUAAACCUCACAAGCAAGGGAAGAGAGCUACGGGCUGAAUAAUCCCGUAGUGCGACGGUACCUUGCGUAAGCCACGGCUAACUACGUGCCA